rnacentral:tRNA from 1 species
AAGAUGCUACCUAAGACUUCUAAUCUUUACCCGGUACACUGUACCACAUCUUU